AGAGAAGGGAUGACACAGUAGGAUAAGCUAAGCACACUGUUGGUUAUGUGUGCCCAAGCAUUGAGGCAGUCAAAGUAGGCAAAUCCGCUUUGAUAAUGCUGGGAUGUGAUGGGGAGCGAAAUUUAGUAGCGAAGUAGCUGAUUUCACACUGUCAAGAAAAGUCUCUAUCGAGGUUAAAGGUACCCGUACCGCAAACCGACACAGGUGGGUGAGGAGAGUAUCCUAAGGCCAGCGAGAGAACUGUUGUUAAGGAACUCGGCAAAAUGACCCCGUAACUUAGGGAUAAGGGGUGCCACCAUCAGGUGGCCGCAGAGAAUAGGCCCAAGCGACUGUUUACCAAAAACAUAGGUUUCUGCUAAGUCGCAAGACGAUGUAUAGGAGCUGACGCCUGCCCGGUGCUGGAA
rnacentral:rRNA from 1 species